rnacentral:rRNA from 1 species
UACGUAGGUGACAAGCGUUGUCCGGAUUUACUGGGCGUAAAGAGCGCGCAGGCGGUCGUUCAAGUCGAGUGUGAAAGCCCCCGGCUCAACUGGGGAGGGUCAUUCGAUACUGAUCGACUCGAAGGCAGGAGAGGGAAGUGGAAUUCCCGGUGUAGUGGUGAAAUGCGUAGAUAUCGGGAGGAACACCAGUGGCGAAGGCGACUUCCUGGACCGGCAUUGACGCUGAGGAGCGAAAGCCAGGGGAGCAAACGGG